rnacentral:rRNA from 1 species
CGGACGGGUGAGUAACGCGUGAGAAUCUGGCUUCAGGUCUGGGACAACCACUGGAAACGGUGGCUAAUACCGGAUGUGCCGAGAGGUGAAAGGUUAACUGCCUGAAGAUGAGCUCGCGUCUGAUUAGCUAGUUGGCAGUGUAAUGGACUACCAAGGCGACGAUCAGUAGCUGGUCUGAGAGGACGAUCAGCCACACUGGGACUGAGACACGGCCCAGACUCCUACGGGAGGCAGCAGUGGGGAAUCUUCCGCAAUGGGCGAAAGCCUGACGGAGCAAUACCGCGUGAGGGAGGAAGGCUCUUGGGUCGUAAACCUCUUUUCUCAGGGAAGAACACAAUGACGGUACCUGAGGAAUAAGCAUCGGCUAACUCCGUGCCAGCAGCCGCGGUAAUACGGAGGAUGCAAGCGUUAUCCGGAAUGAUUGGGCGUAAAGCGUCCGCAGGUGGCGAUGUAAGUCUGCUGUUAAAGCGUCUAGCUCAACUAGAUAAGAGCAGUGGAAACUACUUACGCUAGAGUGCGUUCGGGGCAGAGGGAAUUCCUGGUGUAGCGGUGAAAUGCGUAGAGAUCAGGAAGAACACCAGUGGCGAAGGCGCUCUGCUAGGCCGCAACUGACACUGAGGGACGAAAGCUAGGGGAGCGAAUGGGAUUAGAUACCCCAGUAGUC